rnacentral:rRNA from 1 species
CACGUAGGGGGCAAGCGUUGUCCGGAUUUAUUGGGCGUAAAGAGCUCGUAGGCGGUUUCGUAAGUCGGGUGUGAAAACUCUAGGCUCAACCUAGAGACGCCACCCGAUACUGCGAUGACUAGAGUCCGGUAGGGGAGUGUGGAAUUCCUGGUGUAGCGGUGAAAUGCGCAGAUAUCAGGAAGAACACCCGUGGCGAAAGCGGCUCUCUGGAACGGUACUGACGCUGAGACGCGAAAGCGUGGGGAGCGAACAGG